rnacentral:rRNA from 1 species
UACGUAGGGUGCAAGCGUUUGUCCGGAAUUAUUGGGCGUAAAGAGCUCGUAGGCGGCCUGUCGCGUCGGUUGUGAAAGCCCGGGGCUUAACCCCGGGUCUGCAGUCGAUACGGGCAGGCUAGAGUUCGGUAGGGGAGAGUCGGAAUUCCUGGUGUGAGCGGUGGAAAUACGUAGAUAUCUGGAGGAACACCGGUGGCGAAGGCGGCAUCCUGGACCGGCAUUGACGCUGAGGCGCGAAAGCUAGGGGAGCAAACGGG